AAGUCGUAACAAGGUUUCCGUAGGUGAACCUGCAGAAGGAUCAUUAUUGCAAGCUUCAGCUCUCUUUAAUACCAAUCACCCUUAUUUGUCUACCAUUACCAUUUGUUGCUUCUACAGAUUGAUAGAAUUACUUCUGUGGGUAGUUAUUUAUAAUUCUGUAUAAGGUUUUCUAUAUAAUAUUAGUUAUUAAAACUUUCAACAAGGGAUUUCUAGGCUCCU
rnacentral:misc_RNA from 1 species